CACCGCGGUUAAACGAGAGGCCCUAGUUGAUAUUAUUACGGCGUAAAGGGUGGUUAAGGAAGGAAAUAAUAAUAAAGCCAAAUGGCCCUUUGGCCGUCAUACGCUUCUAGGUGUCCGAAGCCCAACCCCACGAAAGUAGCUUUAAUAAAACCCACCUGACCCCACGAAAGCUGAGAAACAAACUGGGAUUAGAUACCCCACUAUGCUCAGCCAUAAACCCAGACGUCGAACUACAAUUAGACGUCCGCCAGGGUACUACGAGCAUUAGCUUGAAACCCAAAGGACCUGACGGUGCCUUAGACCCCCCUAGAGGAGCCUGUUCUAGAACCGAUAACCCCCGUUAAACCUCACCACUUCUAGCCACCCCAGCCUAUAUACCGCCGUCGCCAGCUUACCCUGUGAAGGUAAUAAAAGUAAGCAAAAUGGGCACAACCCAGAACGUCAGGUCGAGGUGUAGCGCACGAAGCGGGAAGAAAUGGGCUACAUUUUCUAUCACAGAACACUACGGACAUGCAACAUGAAAUAGUGCUUGAAGGAGGAUUUAGUAGUAAAAAGGAAGCAGAGUGUCCUUUUGAACCCGGCUCUAAGGCGCGUACACACCGCCCGUCACUCUCCCCUGUCAACACGCAUUACAAGUACAUAAUAUUAAAGCACUGACAAGGGGAGGCAAGUCGUAACAUGGUAAGUGUACCGGAAGGUGCACUUGGAUUAAACCCAGGGUGUGGCUGAG
rnacentral:rRNA from 1 species